UACGAAGGGGGCUAGCGUUGCUCGGAAUUACUGGGCGUAAAGGGCGCGUAGGCGGCACUGUUAGUCAGGCGUGAAAUUCCUGGGCUCAACCUGGGGACUGCGCUUGAUACGGCAGAGCUAGAGGAUGGAAGAGGCUCGCGGAAUUCCCAGUGUAGAGGUGAGAUUCGUAGAUAUUGGGAAGAACACCGGUGGCGAAGGCGGCGAGCUGGUCCAUUACUGACGCUGAGGCGCGACAGCGUGGGGAGCAAACAGG
rnacentral:rRNA from 1 species